CUUGUACUAGUGAAGAAACAUCAUUCCUUAACCACUCAACCUGCACAACAGCUGAAGAAAGAUCAAACUGCUGCUCCUACAGUCCAGUCUGCACUGCAAAAUGCCAAACAGACGGUAGAGAUGCAGAAGAUGAAGAUAAAUAAUCUGGAAGAAAAGGUAGCAUCCUUAGUAGAGGAAAGGAAUUAUCUCCGUGAGAGACUUGAGGACACUCUUAAACUAAAACUUGAUGAUCAACAUCAGUCAUCUGCAGAACCUCAGCAGUCAACCCUUCGGAUGUCUGCUACAUCUCAGCAUUCUCCAACCUCUACA